CCUACGGGAUGCUGCAGUGAGGAAUAUUGGUCAAUGGACGCAAGUCUGCACCAGCCAUGCCGCGUGCAGGAUGACGGCUCUAUGAGUUGUAAACUGCUUUUGUACGAGGGUAAACCCCGAUACGUGUAUCGGGUUGAAAGUAUCGUACGACUAAGGAUCGGCUAACUCCGUGCCAGCAGCCGCGGUAAUACGGAGGAUCCGAGCGUUAUCCGGAUUUAUUGGGUUUAAAGGGUGCGUAGGCGGUUUGAUAAGUUAGAGGUGAAAGGUCGGGGCUCAACCCCGAAACUGCCUCUAAUACUGUUGGACUAGAGAAUAGUUGCGGUAGGCGGAAUGUAUGGUGUAGCGGUGAAAUGCUUAGAGAUCAUACAGAACACCGAUUGCGAAGGCAGCUUACCAAACUAUAUCUGACGUUGAGGCACGAAAGCGUGGGUAGCAAACAGGAUUAGAUACCCUUGUAGUC
rnacentral:rRNA from 1 species